AUGAAACGCUGGCGGCGUGCCUAAGACAUGCAAGUCGAGGGGGUUUUAGACCCCCGGCGAACGGGUGAGUAACGCGUGGGAACUUCCAUUAAGUUUGGGAUAACCUUCCGAAAGGGAGGACAAUACCAAAUGUGGCCGUAAGGCCUAAAGAUUUAUCGCUUAAUGCAAGGCCCGCGUUCCCAUCAGCUAGUUGGUUAGGGUAAUGGCCUACCAAGGCGAUGACGGGUAGCGGAAGCGAGAGCUUGAUCCGCCACACUGGGACUGCGACACGGCCCAGACUCCUACGGGAGGCAGCAGUUUUGGAAUUUUGGACAUGGGCGAAAAGCCUGAUCCAGCGACGCCGCGUGCACGAAGACGGCCUUCGGGUUUGUAAAGUGCUUUUGGUGGGGAAAAAUUUUUGAUUGUACCCACAGAAUAAGAGGUUGCUAACUCUGUGCCAGCAGCAGCGGUAAUACAGAGGACCUCAAGCGUUAUCCGGAAUCAUUGGGCGUAAAGCGUACCGAUAGGUGGUUCAUGAUAGUUUUGGGGUAAAAAGCCAGAAAGCUCAAACUUCUGCGUUUGCUCAAAAUACUUCACGACUAGAGGGGCAAAGAAGAGGUGCUUGGAACGAAUGGUGUAGUAGUGAAAUGCGUUGAUAUCAUUCGGAACACCGAAAGCGAGGCAGAGCACUGGGUGCCACCCUGACACUGCUAGGACGAGAGCGUGGGGAGCGAAUGGGAUUAGAUACCCCAGUAGUCCACGCUGUAAACGAUGAAUAUUAGGCAUGCGCGAGUAUCGACCCUCGUGCGAGGCCGUAGCUAACGCGGUUAAAUUAUUCCGACCUGGGAAGUACGGCCGCAAGGCUUAAAACUCAAGGAAUUGACGGGGACCCGCACAAAGCGGUGGAGCAUGUGGUUUAAAUUCGAACGGUAAGCGAGGAACCUUACCAGGGUUUGACAUGUAGCUGCAAGCGCACGGGAAACGUGUGAUCUUCGAGAGUGCUACACAGGUACUGCACGGUUUGUCGUCAGCUCGUGUCGUGAGAUGUUCCUUAAGUGGGAGAAACGGAGCGCAACCCCCCGUGAUAUGUUUGAUUUUCAUAUCAGACUGCCGGCGUUUAAGCUGGAGGAAGGGUGGGGAUGACGUCCAAAUCAGCGUGGUCUUUACGCCCUGGGCGACACAACGUUGCUACAAUGCAUAGGAACAAAGGGACGCCAACAUCGCAAGAUAGAGCAAAUCCUCUCAAAAAACUAUGCUCAGUUUCGGAUUGGGGGCUGCAACUCGCCCCCAUGAAGCUGGAAUCGCUAGUAACCGUGAAUCAGCCCUCGUCACGGUGAAUACGGUUCUCGGGUUUUUGUACACACACCCGCCCGUCACAACAUGGAAGUGGUUAAUAAUCCCAAUUAUCUGGCGCAACAGCGGACGAAAGGUAAGAAUCAUGACUGGGGUG
rnacentral:rRNA from 1 species